GCCGCCGCCGCCGCUGCUGGCCGGCGCCACCGCCGCUGCCUCGCAGGAGCCCGACAGCCCGUGCCGGCUGAAGACCGUCACGGUGUCCACACUGCCCGCCCUGCGGGAGAGCGACAUCGGCUGGAGCGGCGCCCGCGCCGGGGCCGGGGCUGGGACCGGGGCCGGAGCCGCCGCCGCCGCGUCCCCGGGCUCUCCUGGCUCUGCCGGCACAGCCGCCGAGUCGCGCCUCCUGCUCUUUGUGCGCAACGAGCUGCCGGGGCGCAUCGCGGUGCAGGACGAUCUGGACAACACCGAGCUGCCCUUCUUCACCCUGGAGAUGUCUGGCACAGCGGCGGACAUCUCGCUGGUGCACUGGAGACAGCAGUGGCUGGAGAAUGGCACCUUGUACUUCCACGUCUCCAUGAGCAGCUCCGGGCAGCUGGCCCAAGCCACCGCCCCAACUCUCCAGGAGCCCUCGGAGAUUGUUGAGGAGCAGAUGCACAUCCUCCACAUUUCUGUGAUGGGUGGCCUCAUCGCGCUGCUGCUGCUGCUGCUGGUGUUCACCGUGGCGCUGUACGCCCAGCGACGUUGGCAGAAGCGUCGCCGCAUCCCCCAGAAGAGCGCAAGCACAGAAGCCACUCAUGAGAUCCACUACAUCCCAUCUGUGCUGCUGGGUCCCCAGGCGCGGGAGAGCUUCCGUUCCUCCCGGCUGCAAACCCACAAUUCCGUCAUCGGCGUGCCCAUCCGGGAGACUCCCAUCCUGGAUGACUAUGACUGUGAGGAGGACGAGGAGCCACCUAGGCGGGCCAACCAUGUCUCCCGCGAGGACGAGUUUGGCAGCCAGGUGACCCACACUCUGGAUAGUCUGGGACGUCCAGGGGAAGAGAAGGUGGACUUUGAGAAGAAAGCAGCAGCUGAGGUGACUCAGGAGACAGUGGAGUCCCUGAUGCAGAAGUUCAAGGAGAGUUUCCGCGCUAACACGCCCAUCGAGAUCGGUCAGCUGCAACCAGCCCUGCGCAGCACGUCGGCAGGAAAGAGGAAGCGGAGGAGCAAGUCUCGAGGGGGAAUCAGCUUUGGGAGAGCCAAGGGGACGUCGGGCUCUGAGGCAGACGAUGAAACGCAGCUGACGUUCUACACGGAGCAGUACCGCAGUCGCCGCCGCAGCAAAGGUUUACUGAAAAGCCCAGUGAACAAGACAGCCCUGACAUUGAUUGCUGUGAGCUCCUGCAUCCUGGCCAUGGUGUGUGGCAGCCAGAUGUCUUGUCCCCUCACUGUGAAGGUGACUCUGCAUGUGCCCGAGCACUUCAUAGCAGAUGGAAGCAGCUUCGUGGUGAGUGAAGGGAGCUACCUGGAUAUCUCCGACUGGUUAAACCCGGCCAAGCUUUCCCUGUAUUACCAGAUCAAUGCCACCUCCCCAUGGGUGAGGGACCUCUGUGGACAAAGGACAACAGACGCCUGUGAGCAGGUCUGCGACCCAGAAACCGGAGAGUGCAGCUGCUAUGAAGGCUAUGCCCCUGACCCUGUUCACAGACACCUGUGUGUGCGCAGUGACUGGGGACAGAGUGAAGGACCUUGGCCCUACACGACACUCGAGAGGGGCUAUGAUCUGGUGACAGGGGAGCAAGCCCCUGAAAAGAUUCUCAGGUCUACUUUCAGCUUGGGCCAAGGCCUCUGGCUUCCUGUCAGCAAAAGCUUUGUGGUUCCACCUGUGGAGCUGUCCAUCAACCCCCUGGCCAGCUGCAAGACCGAUGUACUCGUCACGGAAGACCCUGCAGACGUCAGGGAAGAAGCCAUGCUGUCCACAUACUUUGAAACCAUCAAUGACCUGCUGUCCUCCUUCGGGCCAGUUCGUGACUGCUCUCGGAACAAUGGGGGCUGCACUCGUAACUUCAAGUGUGUAUCUGACCGGCAGGUGGACUCCUCAGGAUGUGUGCAUUCGUCUGCUUUUUGAACUCAGGAACAUAACCACAGAGACUGCUGAGAUAUAACUUACAGCGUUUUUUUAAAAUUUGAUUUAAAAAAAUAAUUUCAACAUUUAUUAUAGAUUCAGAGGUACAUGUGCAGGUUUGUUACCUGGAUACAUUGUGUGAUUCUGAGGUUUGCGGUACAAUUGAUCCCAUCACUCAGGUACUAAGCGUAGUGCCCAAUAAGUAGUUUUUUAAUCCUUGCCCGUUUCUUCCCUUCACACCCCCUGCCUUCUUCCCCCGUCUAGUAGUCCCCAGUGUCUCUUAUUGCCACUUUUAUGUCCAUGAGUACCCAAUAUUUAGCUCCCACUUUUUUUUUUUUUUUUUUUUUUUUGAGACGGAGCUUUGCUCACAUUACCCAGGCUACAAUGCAAUGGUGCAAUCUUGGCUCACUGCAGCCUCUGCCUCCUGAGUUCAAGCGAUUCUCCUGCAUCAGCCUCCCGAGUACCUGGGAUUACAGGUGCCCGCCACCACCCCUGGUUAAUCUGUAGUAUUUUUAGUAGACAUGGGGGGGGUGGGGGUUUCACCAUGUUGGCCAGGCUGGUCUCGAACUCCUGAUCUCAGGUGAUCCACCCACCUCGGCCUCCCAAAGUGUCGGGAUUACAGGUGUGAGCCACCGCGCCCAGCCUAGCUCCCACUUAUAAGUGAGAACAUGUGGUAUUUAGUUUUCUGUUCCUGUGUUAAUUAGCUUAGGAUAACGGUCUCCAGCUGCAACCGUAUUACUGCAAAGGGCAUGAUUUUCUUUUUAUGGCUGCAUAGUAUUCCAUGUAUAUAUGCACCACAUUAUUUUUUUAUCCAGUCCACCAUUGAUGGGCACCCAGGUUGAGUCCAUGUCUUUAUAUUGUGAAUAGGGCGGCAAUGAACAUACGGUUGCAUGUGUCUUUUUGGUAGAAUGAUUUAUUUUCUUUUGGAUGUAUACCCAGUAAUGGGAUUGCUGGCUCUGAAGGAUACAUAAUUUUCUUCAAGAAUAGGAGGCCAGGCCUGGCUGAGGGCAAAAUGUAGAGAGAGAUACUGAGGGUUGGACCCUGCAGAGAACAGAUGCUGGCUGGUUGUGCCUAAGUGGUUUCCAGAUCCAGGUGUAGGCAGAGAUGAAACAGGGGUGUGGUUUUCAUUCUGUGCCAGGGAGCUCUCCUGGGGGAUGGGAGCAGGCUCUGUGUCCUCCACUCUGAAGUCUCAGGCCCCCUGGUGGUGCCUGCAGCAGCUGUCCUUCAUUACGCAGGACUAUUGAUCCCUGUAAUCCUUUUUGCAUGCCUCCCCCAACCCCCCACCGCUUCCCUCCUUCUCAGCACCGAAGUCCAGCACAAAUUGAGCGGCAGCUGAAUUGGCAUGAGUUGAUUAAAACUCCCAGUAAUUAUGGGCUCUUGAUUGGCCUGGUUGUCCAAAUCAAUGUCUGCAUUAAUAGACAGGCUAGCUGGCCUAGUUGACAGAUUGAGGCUGAGUGGCGAGAGGGGUGGGGGACUGAGGACUGGCAGAGCCUUUCCCACUCACUCAUAUGCCAGGAAGCACACCAGAGGUCUCCUGGGAUGAGAAGAACCAGGCCCACUCAGUUUCUUAUCAAAGGGAUGGUUCAUAUUGAAGAAUUCAGCAGCCCUUCCUCAGCCUGUGUGAUCUUCAAUAACCUUGCCUGUAAAAUGAGUAUAUUGUAUUUUAGGGGUCCUCUAAGUUUUGGGGGGAUUAAAAAAUAUAGCAUACUGGGAAACAUCCAGCUCAUGGCAGGUGCAUAAUAAAUAUGCAUUUCAUUUCCUUCCUUGCAUCUUUCCCUACCUCUUUUUCCCAAGAUGCUGUACCUAAUCUGUAUAUCCAAGACUAUGCCACAAGCAACCUCUCUGUCCCUAAAGCACCCAAGUCCUCUGAUAACCCAUUACAGGGCCUUUCCCACAAGAUUCUCACAAUCUCUGUAUUACCCUAGCCAGUCUGAACCACUUGUGACACCACAGACAGGCCACCUCUAUGCGGUUCAGGGAAAAGAGCACCUCAUUUGGCCGCAUAGUCAGGGGGCCUUCAGUGGUGGGCUUAGUCAGCCUCUUACUUGCUGUUUGACCUAAGGCAGCUCACCUGACCUCUCUGAGUUUCAGUUUCCUCAUCGGAAAAGUAGGCAUGGAAGAAAUGCCUACCAUCUCCCUGUAUGUGAUUCCCUUACAUUUCUCCCGGAAUGUCUCCUAUUUGGAGAAA
rnacentral:lncRNA from 1 species